AUCUUCGUGGUGUAAUGGUCAGCACACUCGGCGCGUAGUCGUGAGGUCCGAGGUUCGAGUCCCGGCGAGGGCG
rnacentral:tRNA from 1 species